rnacentral:rRNA from 1 species
CAGCCGCCGCGGUAAUACAGAGGGUGCAAGCGUUAAUCGGAAUUACUGGGCGUAAAGCGCGCGUAGGUGGUUUGUUAAGUUGGAUGUGAAAUCCGGGCUCAACCUGGGAACUGCAUCCAAAACUGGCAAGCUAGAGUAUGGUAGAGGGUGGUGGAAUUUCCUGUGUAGCGGUGAAAUGCGUAGAUAUAGGAAGGAACACCAGUGGCGAAGGCGACCACCUGGACUGAUACUGACACUGAGGUGCGAAAGCGUGGGGAGCAAACAGGAUUAGAUACCCGAGUAGUCCCUGUCUCUUAUACAC